GACGAACGCUGGCGGCGUGCCUAAUACAUGCCAGUAGAACGCUGAAGGCGGAGCUUGCUUCUCUGGAUGAGUUGCGAACGGGUGAGUAGCGCGUAGGUAACCUGCCUGGUAGCGUGGGAUAACUUUUGGAAACGAUAGCUAAUACCGCAUAAGAGUAGCUGUUGCAUGACAUUUGCUUAAAAGUUGCAAUUGCAUCACUACCAGAUGGACCUGCGUUGUAUUAGCUAGUUGGUGGGGUAACGGCUCACCAAGGCGACGAUGCAGAGCCGACCUGAGAGGGGGAGUAGCCGCACUGAGAGUGAGACACGGCCCAGAGGCACACGGGAAGCAGCAGGAGGGAAUCGUCAGCAAGGGACGGAAGACAGACCGAGCAACGCCGCGGGAGGGAAGAAGGACGUCGGAUCGUAGAGCACGGUUGUAAGAGAAGAAAGAGUGUGAGAGUGGAAAGUUGACACUGUGACGGUAACUUACCAGAAAGGAACGGCUAACUACGUG
rnacentral:rRNA from 1 species